CUUGGUCAUUUAGAGGAAGUAAAAGUCGUAACAAGGUUUCCGUAGGUGAACCUGCGGAAGGAUCAUUCACAAUGAGUGUUUUAUGGCACUCUUUAAAAAUCCAUAUCCACCUCGUGUGCAAUGUUUGUUGGGAGAGAGGCAACUCUUUCCCUUCACAAAUAUCAACCUAUAUCUUUAACAACAUUCGUCUGAUAACAUAUUAUGAAUAUACUUAAUUCAAAAUAUAACUUUCAACAACGGAUCUCUUGGCUCUCGCAUCGAUGAAGAACGCAGCGAAAUGCGAUACGUAAUGUGAAUUGCAGAAUUCAGUGAAUCAUCGAAUCCUUGAACGCAUAUUGCGCUCUUUGGUAUUCCGAAGAGCAUGCUUGUUUGAGUAUCAGUAAACACCUCAACCUCCUCUUGUUUUUUCAAAAGGAGGGUGGACUUGAGCUAUCCCAACAACCUUCACCGGUAGGCGGGCGGCUUGAAAUGCAGGUGCAGCUGGACUUUUAUCUGAGCUAAAAGCAUAUCUAUUUAGUCCUCGUCAAACAGGAUUAUUACUAUUGCUGCAGCUAACAUAAAGGAUAAUUGUCCUCAUUGCUGACUGAUGCAGGAUUUUACGACACUUUAUGUGUUGUUCAACUCGAUCUCAAAUCAAGUAAGACUACCCGCUGAACUUAAGCAUAUCAAUAAGCGGAGGAA
rnacentral:rRNA from 1 species